AAAGGAAAAUAAUGAUCAUCUCAAUUUUUAUAUGUGGAGGCAUUGCUUUUCUUCUUUGGGGGAUUUUAAGAUUUCCCAGAAAAUUUGGAAUUCCAAGGCACCUUAGAAACAAGACAUGCCUAGAAAAUUUGACUAUGUGUCCACAAGGCUGGAACUGAAUCAAUAAUAAUUGCUUCUUUCAAUCUGAACAUGAAACAACGUGGAUCAAUGGCUGAGAAAACUGCAGAAGUUAUGGAUCUCUGGCCAGGCUCAACUCUCAGAAUGAAAUGGGAAUCUUUGAUGCAUUAUCUGGGGCCGUCUUUAUAUUGGUUUGAACUGAGCAAGCACAAUGCAAACAAAACGUGGAUGUGGGCAGAUGGAGCUACAUUCAGCAAUUGUGAAAGAAUCGAGUUUUGUGCUAUGAGUCAUGGGAGCAAAACGUGAGUAUUUAGAAGUGGAGAGGACCACGAAGAAGGAAGCCCUGGUGACUUGAAGAAAUCAUGGAGAGUUCUCCGGAUUCCCACAAACCUAUGGGGUUUAGAUUCCAGCUAAUACUUACACGGGUCUCAGAAGGACAGAGGGCAAGGGUUAACAUC
rnacentral:lncRNA from 1 species